GCACAGGAUUCUGGUUAGAGGUAGGUUAUGGUUAGGAAUCAGGAUCAGGGUUGGUUUCGGGGGUUGCCUAGAAUUUGGGGGAAACGUUGAGAAAAAGAACACCUUUUCAAGUUCCCUGCGCCGCCUCAUUAGGAUGAAGGGGAUGGAUGAUGACCUUGGGAGGAAGUGAAAUGCAGCUAUAUAGAGUAUUAUUGUUAGUUACCUAGGCAGUGGCUUGAAAUUUUGGAAAGAACUCUCUGAACUGCAUUCAUAUAUUUAUCAGAUGCGGACGGACAUAGUUCGGCAGAGGUAAAGUACAGGUGUUGCUCAUACACUUUGGACGUGGUUUUAUCCAAGGUUGAAGUUAUGGGUUUAGAAAUCUCAGCCGGAAAGGCUUUCGGUUGUUGGUUUGAACAUCUCAGCAACUGUAGAUCACGCAUCUAAACUACACCACCACAAAGCAUUAUUAAUACCCAUCGCUCUGGCCCUAAUUAACACAAUCCUAACCCCUAACUUAGGAUUAUGAGCGUGAAUUAGUACUAGCACUGUAUAUUGAG
rnacentral:sRNA from 1 species